UUUGUCUGUAAAAUCAAGCUCCCAUAAGAAACCCAUAGUAGAAUUUUUGAAUUAUGAACUGCCGCGCAUUCUAAAUUCUAACCUUACUUUACUGGUCAAUUCCAGUUAGGUAAAUGCGAUCGAAUCUUGGUGUCUUGUGUCCGCCAUUUUAAGCAGUAAUAGAUGUCUUCUCAAUUAUUACAAAUAGAAGUAAAUUAUCCAGAUCUUAAUAAUAAGGAAUUGCCUCACUACAUGGGAUGUGUGUUUGAAAUCCAGCGAGACCAGGCCAAGGGUAGUUUUUUGCGCACGUGCUUUGCAGAGGUUACGAUAGAAAAUGUCGUUGGGUUCAAAAGAAAUCUCCAUCCCUCUUGCGUUUGGCGAGUUUUUUACAAAAGAAAGGACCGAACAUCUGAUUAUUUUGAAAAAGGUAGCCAAAGCAAGAAACCAAUCUAUCCAUUACCAGAAAGUGAUGAACAAUUGAAACAACUGUUUGAUGAUAUAUCCAAAGUCAGUGCUUCUGUUGGAGUGAAGGUACUGCAAAAGCAGUACACUGACAAUAGAGAGUUUGCAGUAGUGGACUAUAGUCCGAUAUUCUGCUCUUGUCCAGUACCGGAUUCUAAAUUGGCCACAGAGCCACCUGGUAUGUGGUCGAUUUCAGAGGUGACAAUGGAAUUAUCCAGCAUGAAAUUAUAAAUUAAGUAAAUUAAAAUUUUUGGUUGUUAACUUUAUAGGAAUGUGAUUUAUAAUAAUAAAGUAAAAGUAUUAUA